UCAUCAAUUAGGGUUUCUAAUUGACCAUUAGUGGUUCUUUAAUUAUCUGUGUAUGUUACUAACACAGUCGUUACGAUUUCUAAUUUCAACCAGUUAGGGUUAUAAUAAUUAGGGUUUGUCCUAAUUAUCGACGUACAACAGUAAUUAGGGUUUCUUCUAAUUACCGAUAUUCUUAUUCACAGUAACUUCAUAUACACAG
rnacentral:lncRNA from 1 species